rnacentral:lncRNA from 1 species
CCUGUUUUUUCUUAUCUCUUUUGCUCUUUUUUUGUUUUUAUUUAAUCUUUUUAGAUAUACAUGACAGCAGAAUGUAUUUUGACAUAUUAUACAUACAUGGAGUGUAACUUCCCAUUCUUGUGGUUGUGCACAAUGUAGAGUUACAAUGGUCAUGUGUUCAUAUAUGAACAUAGGAAAGUAACGUCCAAUUCAGUCUACUGUCUUAAAUAUUCCCAUCUCCCUUCCUUCCCUUCAUUCCCCUUUGCCUAAUCCAAUUAACUUCUUUUUUAAACAAUUGAUUUAUAAAUGUUAACUUUAUAUCCUGAUACUUUGCUGAAUUCAGUUAUAAGUUCUAAAUAUACAAUCUACUUCUAAAUAUACAAUCAUGUCAUCAGCAAACAGAGCUAAUUGUAUCACUUCUUUUCCUAUCACAUCCCGUUUAUUUUAUUCUUUUGCCUAGAAAAGAAUUCUGACUAUGUUAAAGAGAAGGGAUAAAAGUGGGCAUCCCUGUCUUGUUCCUGUUUUGGAAGGAAUGCUAUCGGUUUUUCUCUAUUUAAAUGAUGCUGGCCUUGGGUUUGUCAUAUACAGCUUUUACAAUGUUGAUGAAUGAUUCCUUUCCUAUUUUUCUAGUGCUUUAAUCAUGAAUGAAUGUUAUAUUUUAUCGAAUGCUUUUUCUUUAUCUGUUGAAAUAAUCAUGUGAUUCUUGUCUUUAAGUUUAUUGAUGUGGUGAAAAAUAUUUACUAAUUUCCAUAUAUUGAUCCAACCUCGCAACCCUGGAAUGAAACCCACUUGGUUAUGGUAAAUUAUCUUUUUAAUGUGAUUUUGUAUUCAGUUUGUCAGUAAUUUAUUAAUAUUUUUUGCAUCUAUGUUUAUCAAGGAUAUUGGUCUGAGGUUUUCUUUCUUAGAUGUGUCUUUGUCU